rnacentral:rRNA from 1 species
AACGUAGGACGCAAGCGUUAUCCGGAGUUACUGGGCGUAAAGCGCGUGCAGGCGGUCUUGCCAGUCUGAUGUGAAAUCUCUCAGCUCAACUGGGAGCAGCCAUUGGAAACUACAAGACUGGAGUCUGACAGAGGUAGGCGGAAUUCCGGGUGGAGUGGUGAAAUGCGUAGAGAUCCGGAGGAACACCAGAGGCGAAGGCGGCCUACUGGGUCAGUACUGACGCUGAGACGCGAAAGCCAGGGGAGCGAACGGG